UACGGAGGAUCCAAGCGUUAUCCGGAAUCAUUGGGUUUAAAGGGUCCGUAGGCGGUUUUAUAAGUCAGUGGUGAAAUCCGGCAGCUCAACUGUCGAACUGCCAUUGAUACUGUAGAACUUGAAUUACUGUGAAGUAACUAGAAUAUGUAGUGUAGCGGUGAAAUGCUUAGAUAUUACAUGGAAUACCAAUUGCGAAGGCAGGUUACUAACAUUAUAUUGACGCUAAUGGACGAAAGCGUGGGGAGCGAACAGG
rnacentral:rRNA from 1 species